rnacentral:rRNA from 1 species
AUUGAACGCUGGCGGCAGGCCUAACACAUGCAAGUCGAACGAGUGGCGGAAGGGUGUGUAAUGUCUGGGAAACUGCCUGAGGGGGGGGGAUAACUACUGGAAACGGUAGCUAAUACCGCAUAACAUCAGAUGUGCCCAGAUGGGAUUGGCUUGUUGGUGGGGUAACGGCCCACCAAGGAGACGAUCCCUAGCUGGUCUGAGAGGAUGACCAGCCACACUGGAACUGAGACACGGUCCAGACUCCUACGGGAGGAAGCAGUGGGGAAUAUUGCACAAUGGGCGCAAGCCUGAUGCAGCCAUGCCGCGUGUAUGAAGAAGGCCUUCGGGUUGUAAAGUACUUUCAGCGGGGAGGCGUUACCCGCAGAAGAAGCACCGGCUAACUCCGUGCCAGCAGCCGCGGUAAUUC